AUAUUGACUUGGCCAAAAAGUUUCUUUAGGUUUUUCUGUAAGAUGUUAUGGAAAAACCUGAAUGAACUUUUGGGCCAACCCAAUAGA
ensembl:miRNA